AGUGUCCAACGUAAAACCACAGACGCAACGGUUAGACUCAUUUGGAGUUUCACAUUAAAAGCACUGACCAUAUCCAUCAUUAAGAAAAAGCUUGUGUAGGGUAUAAAAUACAGUAUGUUGAUCAAAAACAUAUUAUAACGGGCUAUAACUUGUAUGGUCGUUCGGUUACGCAGAAGACAGUCUCUCCAUCCAAUACUGACAACGUUUAGAUUAUGCGUAAAUGACAGACCUUGUGAAUGGUUAGAAAUGUUACUUCCAACAGCUGUAGUUGCGUACUAGGUUUUAGUUUUGAAGCUUACACUCACUCGUUUACCUCGGAUUCAUGUCUGGUGAUCUGGCCGUAUCACUGCGGUCCUUCUCGACAUACCCCUUGUAAACUUCCCGCUGUCUCCUCGCUGCCAGUGCUCAUAUCAUGGGUCUUAUUUUGGAGGUCAAGGUGCGUCGGUCCCGCUGAAGCUGUCCGGGGACACCUUGAAGACCCCCAGAGGAAGCUAUUGUCUGACUUCCAUGUUCCCUGAUGAACCACAGAUAACCCUGCAGACUGAGAUUUGGCCACGUCUGUCCAGAUGCUGCUGUGACCACUCAUCAUACCAGACACACCCCACCAGCUUCAGACUGCCAUUGUCACCAAAGAUUGAACAGUAUAGGCUCAACACACACACACGCGCGUGCAUACUCGCUGCUCCUAAUUCAUUAUAAUGACCAGCUUUCAGACAGCUUUAGAGCACAGGCUUCCACAUCUUAUCUUGAAAGCUGGUUUACCCAACUUGGUUUGUGUGCUUUAGUGCUUUGAUGGCAAGUGUGUCUGUAAGGGUUAGGGCUAGUUUUCCUUUUUAAAAUUUAAAAAGACCAUUUUGCACUAAGCCUAAAUAUAUGUAAAUGUGACAAAGUUUUAGGUCACUUAGGAGGAUCAUAUUUUUAAAAUGUAAUAAAUAGUGAAGUGAAUGAAUGAUGGUGUAACAUAGAGCACCUUAUCACACAUUUGUGACACAGGGCCCUUAUCAGCAAAUUCCACCGUGCCCAUCAAUUUCCUCUUAAAGUUGUUGCAUUAUGUAAUCUUUCUGAUGCCGGAUUUGCCUCUUCUUGUUUCCAUGGAGAUGUCAUUGCUUUGUCUCUUUUAAAAUAUUUUGGCACUUAAUUUACAGUUUUAUUGCAAAGAAAAUACCUUGAAAUUAAUGCAUUCUUGCUCUGAGCUGGGUCACCUUACCACUGUUUCUGCCUGUCUCCAGCGAGAUAGAUAAGUUUAAUGCCAUACUCUGUAGAGUGAAGACACACAUGGAAGCAGGUGGUGGACCCUCAGUUAGAACAUGGUGUACAAAAUAUAUUGGAUAGGCUAUGCAUAACUGUUAAUAUCUUGCUCAAUAAAAAACUGAGUAACCUUUAA